rnacentral:lncRNA from 7 species
UAAUAAAAGCUGUUGAGAGUCUGAGAUUAUUAGCAUAGGAUGGGGAAUUCACUGACAUUGGUCACCUAAGGCUUUGGAUUUCCUGCUUUCUGAACAGGGGCUUGUAUGUUCCCACAGCAAGCUCCCUUUUAUGUGCAACAUAUGGUGUAAACACACAGCUAGCAAGUGUCUUUUUACAGAUUGGGAAUGUCAGAUAUUACUACUAGUAAUUAGAAAAUCUGAAUUUAUACUGGUGAUGGCCCAGCCUGAUGGAAAUUGACCUUGAAGCCUUAGAGUGUCCUUUUAAAACCUAUCAGUUUUAAGAAUAUCCCAAGAAUUUUCAGUAGCACAGUGCUUGAUUUGUGCCUUGCUAAAAAAGCUCGACUGAAGCAUCCUUUUUACAUACUCUCAAGAUUCAGUCUCUGGGUUCAUCCAUGUUUGCCUACUACCAUUCAAAAGUUAUCUCGUAUUCUACAGAAGUUUUACCUAUGAAAGUAGGCAUAUGCCUACUGGAUAUUGUUACUGUUACCAGUGCUGUGAACACUUGGGGUAGAAGGAGUUUAAAUUUUCUGCAUUCUAUGAUGCAGCUUGAAGCAGCAGUGAUUUUCUUUUAAUGGGAAGAUCCAAAGUCUCUUCAUUUAAUUGUGUAAUCCUCCACACUGAUCAAGGAAGAAAACUUAGGGUCAUUGCUCAGUGAAUUGCCUUACAAUGCACGACAAUUACAUUGGAAGCAAAACAAAGGGUGUGAAGUUGUCAGAAAGUACUGAUGCUGACCAGUCUUUUCAUACAUAAAAAAUGGAUUUAAGCAUCACUGGUACUGUUGCUGCUGCCUGAACAACCUGAACACCUGAACAACCAUUAUUUUAAUUAGUCUCAAAAAUUUUUUAUGGAGUGAAAAAAAAUAUAUAGUUACAGGUUCAGUUGUGAAUUAAAGUCCUGGGAAAAC